rnacentral:rRNA from 1 species
UUAAAGGAAUUGACGGAAGGGCACCACCAGGAGUGGGGCCUGCGGCUUAAUUUGACUCAACACGGAGAACCUCACCGGGCCAAGACACCGGAAGGAUUGACAGAUUGAGAGCUCUUUCUUGAUUCGGUGGGCGGUGGUGCAUGGCCGUUCAUAGUUGGUGGAUCGAUUUGUCUGGUUAAUUCCGAUAACGAACGAGAUUCUAGCCUGCUAACUAGUCGAUACCGGCAUCCUUGGCGCAGCCGGCGAUAACAUAUCUUCUUAGAGGGACGGGCGGCUUCUAGCCGCACGAGAAUGAGCAAUAACAGGUCUGUGAUGCCCUUAGAUGUUCUGGGCCGCACGCGCGCCACACUGAAGCGAUCAGCGUGUUGUUUCCUUCCCCGAGAGGGGCGGGCAACCCGAUGAACCCGCUUCGUGCUAGGGAUUGGGGCUUGGAAUUAUUCCCCACGAACGAGGAAUUCCCAGUAAGCGUGAGUCAUCAGCUCACGUUGAUUAAGUCCCUGCCCUUUGUACACACCGCCCGUCGCUACUACCGAUUGAAUGAGUUAGUGAGGUCUUCGGACCAGGGCGCGGAUUGUCCUUUCGGGGGCUUCCGAUUGACCCCGGGAAUUUGACCGAACUUGCUUAUUUAGAGGAAGUAAAAGUCGUAACAAGGUUACC